rnacentral:rRNA from 1 species
AUGCGAGGAAAAGCGUCAAGAAACAGCGGCAAAAGGCCCUCGCGUCGCCUCCAGGGCGGGCCCACGCGCCUUUUUCGCUUGUGCCGGCUCCCCAAGCGCCCCCCAGGGCGCCGGGUUGGGCCUGGGUCCGCCGGCACCAGUUUUGGCCCGAGCCGGCGAAAAACGGGCUCCUGGGGGCGCGACUGGGGCCUUUUUUUGGCGCCAGCGCGGCAAAAUCGUUUGGGGAGGGCCUGUUGGGGGCGCGGCUGGAGAUGCCCUAAGGACGGGUCGACAUGGUGGGUGACCGUAGUUUAUGGACCGCAAGGGGAUGAUGCGAAGAUGCAAUUUCUUGUUGAGAUACACGAUAGACAUGCCGUUUGUUUGGGGCCUUCGAUGGUGCUUGGGGAUUUCAAUAUGUUCCUACGGGCGGAUGAGAAGAGUAAUAACAAUCUGAACCGGAGGAUAAUGAGAAGAUUCAAAGAAUUUGUGGACGAUUGUGAACUCAAGGAACCAUACAUGCAUGGGAGGCAGUUUACAUGGCCGAAUGAAAGGGAGCAGCCGGUAAUGACGAAAAUUGAUCGCGUGCUAGUGUCGGUAGAUUGGGAGCUAAACUACCCGGAUAUGUUGUUGCAAGCUCUCUCUACAAACAUUUCGGAUCAUACCCCGCUACACUUUACCACCUCUGCACCUUUGUGUGAGGAAAAGGUUUCAUUUUUAGAUGUAUUGGCUGAAGCUGGAUGGGUUCGAACAGAUGGUCCGUGA